AGAAUAUUUCUUUGUUCUACCUUGACUUAAGACCUUUGGCUAAGCUAAAUCAUAGUCAGCUCUGCACUAAUCAUGUCUUGAUCUAGCCAUAGUAUGAACUAACAAACAAAAUACAGAGAAGGUACAAUCAAUCCUUUAAAUAGUAAUAUCACUUUCCUGGGAUAAACCUAUAAUGAAAGACAUUGAUAUUCAAAAAGCACAAUGUAAAUGUGCAUUUAUACCUUGGAGAAUUAAGGAGAGUCCUGCACCAGUGUCUUUUAUUUCUAAGUAGGUUAUUUUUUUCUAAUGAAAAGAAGGAAUUGUGUUUAUGAACCACUGAUAAGCUGAAUCAAAAUAAAUAUGAAGAUAUUACAGAGCUGUGCAAAACCAAUGAAAUAAAACCUUUUAUGUUAAAUGUUUUAUUUGUAUUGAAGUCCUUUUUAUUAUUGCACAAAAUUCAGACUUAGAGGAGAUACACAAGGGAGUUUCAGGUUCCCCAAAUGACACAAGUUCAGAACUCGCUCCAGUGCAAGGUCCUGGCAUGGCCCAGCAAGCAGCACACUCGCUUCUGGGUGCUCUGAAACUGGAAGUUCAAACUUGUACUGCACAUUGCUAAUCCCACAGAGGCUUCUCAAGAUCCAGUGAAGUUCCCAGUGGAUGGUCAAAUCAAAGAAGUCUGGAGAAUAAUUAGUCUCAUCCUAAAGUAGGUGCCUGUAUGUGAUCAGAACAACUGCACUCUAGAGUCUGUUGAUGUAGUUAAACAGUGGAAAUCAUUGCUACUGGAACUGGUGAAUGGCCAUGUUCAAAAUUUUUUGCCAUGUUCAAAAAUAAUUUACACAGAGAAAAAAAAAUAAUUAGAAUUUUAAAUUUCAGCUGCCUGAAGUGAAUUUAGUCCUACCUAUCCUCAGAAAAAUAUACAUGUAUGUGUUAUAUUUCAGAUUGUCUCUGAAAUCUUUUGUUCCAUAAACGUAUUUUCUUUUAAAGAUGCUGCUUGGUCACCGUGGGGUUGAUCUUGAAGAAAAGUGCUACAGCAGGAGAGCAGUCCUGAUGGAAGAGAUUUCACUCUAUGGAUCCCAGUGACACAGAAAAAUAUUUCAUCUGUUCUGUGCUUUGCUUCUGACAAAAACAUUAUUUCAAGUCCCUGAGUGGGCUGGUACGAAGGAAACUGUGCUGGCUCAGAGUUCUUAGUAAUUUCAGCAUAUCAUAGCCAUCCCCAAGGAGUCACUGGAGUUCAGAGACCAAACCCUUUCCAAUCCUGUUGCUCCUUCUUCAAAUAAAGAUAUCUUCAGAAACUCAAACCCACAUCUGGUCUUAUGUUUGCUUUCCUGCAAGUUUCUCUGCUGUUUUCCUUGCUCUUCCUGUUUGCCUAAUCAUCUUCCAUUGAAAAAGGAGAAGAAACCCUUACGAAGUAUUUCCUUGCUCUAAGGCUGGCAUAGCAAUAAUGUUGUAGGUAAUGCAGUCAAUGCUGCUGUUAAUUCUGCUGCCUCAGCUGUUUCUAGCCAGGAAGGAGUCACUCAAGUUUUUCACUAGAGAACAAACCAUGAGAGAAACUAAUCAAAAACAAUUGGCCAGGUCUUUGUUAUUUGUGUUUUUUUAAAUAUUGAUAGUGAUGUGUCAUUAGAAAGAAUGGAAAUUUGUACUGUUUUAGCUGGCCCAGCAUGGGUUUACACCCCAAUCUGACGUGAAGGAUCCUGUGGCACAUGUAGGGUAGAUUGCAGCUUGACUUUACAAUUUCUCCUUUUUCUAUAAAGGGGGCAAGAAAGAGGAUGUUAGCUGUGACUCUGCAUUGCACCUCUUCACCAUAGCUGUUGUCCAAUGCCUUUACCUGCAACCUCAGCCACUCACUGUGCUGGCACGCCCUAAAGCAUUCAGAUAAACUUCUUACCUGUGCCACUGUCACUAGGCCAAUCUCCAGACUCUCUUAUUUUCAUCAAAAUCAUUGAUUCAUGUACUCACAGACUCCAUUUGGAAAGUCAGGUUUCAA